GGAAAACCAAGUUUAAGAUCCACGUAAACUCAAAAUUGUUUAAAUGGACGUAAAGCAAACUGUCAACAGACACGAAUGGCAAUAUGUUUUAUCAUGAUGGAUAUGAAUCUCUAGCACUGGCUAGUUACACCCUCCUUCCAAUUAGCCAUGUAUUUCUUAAUAUUAAACUCCCAUAUAAUUCACAUGAAUGCAGAUUUAAGUUAUCACCACUCAACUUAAACUAUACACUAAAAUAUCCAUUUUCUUGACUUGUAAGACAUUUCACCAUGUAUUUGCAUGGAUCUUCCCUAUAAUAUCACCUCAAAACAUUUCAUCAGAACUGUAGAAUGAAUCCUGAUUUUAACCACAUCACGAAAAUAGUAACCACUGAAUCCUUAAUAAGAACUUGAAGUGGAAAGUAAUAUUUAUGGCACAAAACACCCUUUUUAAUCAUCUAGUAUCAUACAUACUGUUGUUGGUUAUCUGAAGGGGCAAAAAAAUAGAAAGAUUUAGAAGAACAGAAGAUCAACAUCUGAUGGUGGAUUUCAAAUUCCAACCAAGUAUAUUUAUUGUUAUGAUAAUAAAGAGAACUAGAGCUGUGGGAACGUUUAGGAGAACAUAUUGUAUAAAUAGGAAGCAUUGUUAACUGAUUGAGUGCAGUCAAGAAUUCAAAAUCAAACCAUAUUGUUAUGAUAAUAAGGAGAACAGAAGCUGUGGGAAUGUUUAGGAGAAUAUAUUGUAUAAGUAGGAUGUAUAGGAGAAUAUAUCGUAUAAAUUGGGAGCAUUGUAACUGAUUGGAGGCAGUCAAGAAUUCAAUAACACAACAAUUCCUUCUCUCUCUAUA
rnacentral:misc_RNA from 1 species